GACGAACCGAGCGAACGUUGUUCGGAAUCACUGGGCGUAAAGCGCACGUAGGCGGAUCCUUAAGUCAGGGGUGAAAUCCCGAGGCUCAACCUCGGAACUGCCUUUGAUACUGGGGAUAUCGAGUCCGGGAGAGGUGAGUGGAACUGCGAGUGUAGAGGUGAAAUUCGUAGAUAUUCGCAAGAACACCAGUGGCGAAGGCGGCUCACUGGCCCGGUACUGACGCUGAGAAGCGAAAGCAUGGGGAGCGAACAGG
rnacentral:rRNA from 1 species